AAAAAGAGAAGGCUGCGACUAUUACUGCUGGAACGCUGAGACCAAAUCAUGGGACAAAUUUUUCUUCGGGAACGGAGAACGAUGCUUUUACAACAAUGGUGAUGAGGGAUUAUGUCAAAACGGAGAAUGCCAUUUGACAACAGAUUCAGGUGUGCCCAAUGACACUGAUGCAA